rnacentral:rRNA from 1 species
AUUGAACGCUGGCGGAAUGCUUUACACAUGCAAGUCGAACGGCAGCACGGGAGCUUGCUCCUGGUGGCGAGUGGCGAACGGGUGAGUAAUGCGUCGGAACGUACCGAGUAAUGGGGGAUAACGCAGCGAAAGCUGUGCUAAUACCGCAUACGCCCUGAGGGGGAAAGUGGGGGAUCGCAAGACCUCACGUUAUUCGAGCGGCCGACGUCUGAUUAGCUAGUUGGUGGGGUAAUGGCCUACCAAGGCGACGAUCAGUAGCGGGUCUGAGAGGAUGAUCCGCCACACUGGGACUGAGACACGGCCCAGACUCCUACGGGAGGCAGCAGUGGGGAAUUUUGGACAAUGGGGGCAACCCUGAUCCAGCCAUUCCGCGUGAGUGAAGAAGGCCUUCGGGUUGUAAAGCUCUUUCAGCUGGAACGAAACGGUACGGGCUAAUACCCUGUGC